rnacentral:rRNA from 1 species
GAUGAACGCUGGUGGCGUGCCUAACACAUGCAAGUCGAGCGAUUCUCUUCGGAGAAGAGCGGCGGACGGGUGAGUAACGCGUGGGUAACCUGCCCUGUACACACGGAUAACAUACCGAAAGGUAUGCUAAUACGAGAUAACAUGCUUUAAUCGCAUGGUAGAAGGAUCAAAGCUUUUGCGGUACAGGAUGGACCCGCGUCUGAUUAGCUAGUUGGUGAGGUAACGGCUCACCAAGGCGACGAUCAGUAGCCGACCUGAGAGGGUGAUCGGCCACAUUGGAACUGAGACACGGUCCAGACUCCUACGGGAGGCAGCAGUGGGGAAUAUUGCACAAUGGGCGAAAGCCUGAUGCAGCAACGCCGCGUGAGCGAUGAAGGCCUUCGGGUCGUAAAGCUCUGUCCUCAAGGAAGAUAAUGACGGUACUUGAGGAGGAAGCCCCGGCUAACUACGUG